GGUAAUACGUAGGGCGCGAGCGUUGUCCGGAAUUAUUGGGCGUAAAGGGCUUGUAGGCGGUUGGUCGCGUCUGCCGUGAAAUCCUCUGGCUUAACUGGGGGCGUGCGGUGGGUACGGGCUGACUUGAGUGCGGUAGGGGAGACUGGAACUCCUGGUGUAGCGGUGGAAUGCGCAGAUAUCAGGAAGAACACCGGUGGCGAAGGCGGGUCUCUGGGCCGUUACUGACGCUGAGGAGCGAAAGCGUGGGGAGCGAACAGGAUUAGAUACCCUGGUAGUCCACGCUGUAAACGUUGGGCACUAGGUGUGGGGGCCACCCGUGGUUUCUGCGCCGUAGCUAACGCUUUAAGUGCCCCGCCUGGGGAGUACGGCCGCAAGGCUAAAACUCAAAGGAAUUGACGGGGGCCCGCACAAGCGGCGGAGCAUGCGGAUUAAUUCGAUGCAACGCGAAGAACCUUACCAAGGCUUGACAUGC
rnacentral:rRNA from 1 species